ACAAGUACAGUAGUAACUGGCUGUACCUUGACGGUACCUUAUUAGAAAGCCACGGCUAACUACGUGCCAGCAGCCGCGGUAAUACGUAGGUGGCAAGCGUUGUCCGGAAUUAUUGGGCGUAAAGCGCGCGCAGGUGGUUUCUUAAGUCUGAUGUGAAAGCCCACGGCUCAACCGUGGAGGGUCAUUGGAAACUGGGAGACUUGAGUGCAGAAGAGGAUAGUGGAAUUCCAAGUGUAGCGGUGAAAUGCGUAGAGAUUUGGAGGAACACCAGUGGCGAA
rnacentral:rRNA from 1 species